rnacentral:rRNA from 1 species
UGGGGAAUAUUGCGCAAUGGGCGAAAGCCUGACGCAGCGACGCCGCGUGAGGGAUGAAGGUUUUCGGAUCGUAAACCUCUUUCAGAAGGGAAGAAACCGCACUGUGCUAAUCAGCAGUGCCUUGACGGUACCUUCAAAGGAAGCACCGGCUAACUCCGUGCCAGCAGCCGCGGUAAUACGGAGGGUGCAAGCGUUAAUCGGAAUUACUGGGCGUAAAGCGCACGUAGGCUGCUUUGUAAGUCAGGGGUGAAAUCCCACGGCUCAACCGUGGAACUGCCUUUGAUACUGCUUAGCUUGAAUCCGGGAGAGGGUGGCGGAAUUCCAGGUGUAGCAGUGAAAUCCGUAGAUAGCUGGAGGAACAUCAGUGGCGAAGGCGGCCACCUGGACCGGUAUUGACGCUGAGGUGCGAAAGCGUGGGGAGCAAACAGG